rnacentral:rRNA from 1 species
AGCGAACGCUGGCGGCAGGCCUAACACAUGCAAGUCGAACGAAGUCUUCGGACUUAGUGGCGGACGGGUGAGUAACACGUGGGAACGUGCCUUUAGGUUCGGAAUAACUCAGGGAAACUUGUGCGAAUACCGAAUGUGCCCUUCGGGGGAAAGGUUUAUCGGCUUUAGAGCGGCCCGCGUCUGAUUAGCUAGUUGGUGAGGUAAAGGCUCACCAAGGCGACGAUCAGUAGCUGGUCUGGGAGGAGGACCAGCCACAUUGGGACUGAGACACGGCCCAAACUCCUACGGGAGGCAGCAGUGGGGAAUCUUGCGCAAUGGGCGAAAGCCUGACGCAGCCAUGCCGCGUGGAUGAUGAAGGUCUUAGGAUUGUAAAAUCCUUUCACCGGUGAAGAUAAUGACUGUAGCCGGAGAAGAAGCCCCGGCUAACUUCGUGCCAGCCGCCGCAGUAAAAC